rnacentral:rRNA from 1 species
CACGAAGUUAGCCGGGGCUUCUUCUACGGGUACCGUCAUUAUCGUCCCCGUCGAAAGAGCUUUACAACCCUAAGGCCUUCAUCACUCACGCGGCAUGGCUGGAUCAGGCUUGCGCCCAUUGUCCAAUAUUCCCCACUGCUGCCUCCCGUAGGAGUCUGGGCCGUGUCUCAGUCCCAGUGUGGCUGAUCAUCCUCUCAGACCAGCUACUGAUCGUCGCCUUGGUGGGCCAUUACCCCACCAACUAGCUAAUCAGACGCGGGCCGAUCCUUCGGCAGUAAACCUUUCCCCAAAAGGGCGUAUCCGGUAUUAGCUCAAGUUUCCCUGAGUUAUUCCGAACCGAAGGGCACGUUCCCACGUGUUACUCACCCGUCUGCCGCUGACCCCGAAGGGCCCGCUCGACUUGCAUGUGUUAAGCCUGCCGCCAGCGUUCGCUCUGAGCCAGGAUCAAACUC